AUCCAGGUUUUACAUUCCUACCUAGUCCAGGCCGUAGUUUAAAUAACGCCCAUCCCGUUUCUUGUCUACCAAGCAAACGUGCCCUAGAUAUAUACUACAAAGUUUUUGGGAAAGCUGCACACUUCUCCAAUGGCGACCGAAGCACCAGAGCAAGCCCCGCCAGCUGAUGGAAUCCAAUCUCUUUCAAUUUCCGAGUCUCCACCAUCCAGUUCCUCAAGUCCAACUAUCCAAAUGAGUUUGGAGGAGAAGUACCAGAUGGUGAGGAGCGUGGCAGAGGAAUGUAUUCAGGAGGACUAGCUUCGGAAUUUGCUGGCUCAUAAGCCCGAACCCAUCUGCUCUGAUGGGUUUCAACCCUCCGGUAGAAUGCAUAUUGCUCAGGGAGUUAUGAAGAUGAUAAAUGUGAACAAGAUGACCGCCGCUGGCUGCAGAGUGAAAAUAUGGAUUGCUGAUUUGUUUGCAAAGCUAAGUAAACGUGCCCUAGGUAUACUCUACAAAGCUUUUGGGAAAGCUCCCACACUAAGCUCAUCAAAUCCAGCUAUCCAAAUGAGUUUGGAGGAGAAGUACCAGAUGGUGAGGAGCGUGGCAGAGGAGUGUAUUCAAGAUUACGAGCUUCGGAAUUUGCUGGCUCAUAAGCCCGAACCCAUCUGCUAUGAUGGGUUUGAACCCUCCGGUCGAAUGCACAUUGCUCAGGUGUUAUUUCAAAUUUUUUAGCAAUCAUAAAAUUCGUAACACAUAAUUCAUAUUGAUUAUGUAUCUGUAAAUUUCAGUAGUUCAAUUUGAACAAGAUUUGAUACAUUUUGUGGAGAGAAGGGAGUUAUGAAGACGAUAAAUGUGAACAAGAUGACCUCUGCUGGCUGCAGAGUGAAAGUAUGGAUUGCAGAUUGGUUUGCACAAUUAAACAAUAAGAUGGGGGGUGAUUUGAAAAAGAUAGAGACUGUUGGGCGCUACACGAUAGAGAUACGGAAGGCUGCUGGGAUGAAUUUGGACAAUGGCAAAGUUGAGUUUGUGUGGUCUUCAGAGGAGAUUAAUGCGAGAUCACAUGAGUAUUGGCCUCGGGUGAUGGACAUAGCUCGAAAGUAUACAGUUAACAGGAUGACUAGGUCGCUAGCCUAUUAUGAUGCUUAUUGUGCCUAUUAGAUUUAUACUGUUGCAGUUCCAUCAUGUUCUCAUAUGUGCUGUUUCAUAAAAAUUCACAGGAAGCAUUUCUCUUUGACCAUUCUGUUUUUCUUUGGUCAAAU